GUCGCUGUGGCCGAGUGGUUAGGUAUGGUUUGCGUACUGCUAUUCGGAAGGCUCGGGUUCAAAUCCCCGUGCGAUCAA
rnacentral:tRNA from 1 species